CACUAUUAUCACCUAAAAUCUGCUGAGAUCUUAUUACAGUUAUACAAUUAUAUAAUUAGCAGACUUUAACCAAGUCAAAUUUGAUGGUCCCAACCCAGAACAUAUUUAGUGACUGAGAUAUUGUGUAUUUUUUAUUUUCUGACAAACAAAAUUCAAAAAAAGGAAAAUCUUACAGGCAGUGAGAGAAGGACUCGCAGCUUUGGGCCCAACGGCUCAGACUUGAGAGGAGAGUGGGAGGGAAAAAAUGCUUGCUAAGCUAUCCGUUUCACACAUGCAGGGACAGAAGGUUCGAUAUUCAUUCGAUCGAUGAAUGAAAAGGCACAAUGGCAAAAUCGGACAGGCUCCUUUUCAAAUCCACGUCUCCGAUGUCCCCCCGCCACCCCUUCCACAGUCUGCAGUGGCUGAGCGGCCGGUGUGGCAGGCAGAGAGAGAAAGAGAGAGAGGAGAGCAAGGGUUACAUCAAGGCUGCUCCCUGGACCGUGCAAACAAGUCUAGACCAGUGACCUGUUCAAUGGCUCCUUUUGAGGUGUGGGGCAAGUUCGGUCAGAGCGAGGAGAAAGGCACGGCACUGCCUCUUUUCAGCACCCGAGCAGCUCACAGCCCUGCGAUCGACAGGAGAGGCAAACUAAAAGUCAGUCCAGCUGAAAAUCAACCAUUUCCCAGAAAAAGUUGUUUCUGUGACGGAUGGACCUUGACCGUAAAUUCCUGACAUUUCCUGAAGCAUGUCUGAUCAUCCUUUGAUCAGGUGGACAACGGGAUAAUCACACGUUUAUCCAACUGCACAGAUUCCACGUCAGUAUAUUUGUGUAUUUAUAUGAAACUGAGCAUUAGUAAGAGAUUUCUGAGUUUUAAUGUAUUGACUGUCUUUAUUCACAGAGCCCCACGGCAGUUCACUGUCCUCUCUUUGGGCUCAGAGGUAAGACCACAAACCUCAUAUGUUCAAUAAUAAGCCCUGCUCCUUAUGUUCUAGUCAGUGUUGCUAUCGUACGGUAGCUCCAACAACUGCUUUGUUUUGACUAGCAGUGAGACGAGUGAGUCAGUGGAAGUGUCAGAGCACCAAAACAGACGGACACCCCACAUAAUUAGCCUGGAGUCAUUUGGAAGCAGCUCAGCUCUGCCCAUGUGCCCACCACCGUGUUCAGAAACAGAGCAGACGACCUUCUACUCGACUCCGUCCCACUGCAGUCACUUAAAAGAGUGAUGAAUGUUUCCCUCUGCCCCCAUCCCCCUCACCCCCACCCUCUCCAGUUGCCUUAUUUGUCCCUGUCUCUCCUCCUUGGUGCUUCUUCACCCUCCCAUUCUCCUUUCUUGCAGCAGUGAGAAAGUUAGGGAGGAAGGAUGAUGUGUAAAGGUGGAUGAGGAAACACAAAGGUGGAGAGGGUGAUUUGAAGUGGGGGAGGCGUUUCCAGCCAGGAAGAGAGAAUCAGAGUAGCUUCCCUCACCAUCUCUUUCCACUGCUCAUUAGUAUGUGCCGGCCGUCGCUCAGGUGACACAGCCGCUGGAUUCAGUCCCAACUGCAGAGACAUCAGCGGGAUAGCAGGUAAGGACAAUGAGAGGAAGGGUGGAGAAGCAGGGAAGAGCGUGGGGGGGGGGUACUCUGAUACACAAACACACGAUUAAAGUGCUAAGUUUUAAAGCUAAACCUUGUUCUCCAAAUAUCUCAGUCUUUAACACACUGCAUGCAGUCUAUAAACCACGAGGCCCAAAUACAACACAAUAUUGCUCCAAUGUUAAUUGCAGCUUUUCAAAAAAUGUAGUAAUUUGAGUUUCUACAGGUUGUGUUGUAAAAUAUUGAUCUUAAUAAUAAAAAAUCUCUGCUGGAUUUGUUCGCUGUGUGU
ensembl:lncRNA